rnacentral:rRNA from 1 species
GAUGAACGCUGGCGGCGUGCCUAAUACAUGCAAGUCGAGCGAACGGACGAGAAGCUUGCUUUUCUGAUGUUAGCGGCGGACGGGUGAGUAACACGUGGAUAACCUACCUAUAAGACUGGGAUAACUUCGGGAAACCGGAGCUAAUACCGGAUAAUAUUUUGAACCGCAUGGUUCAAAAGUGAAAGACGGUCUUGCUGUCACUUAUAGAUGGAUCCGCGCUGCAUUAGCUAGUUGGUAAGGUAACGGCUUACCAAGGCAACGAUGCAUAGCCGACCUGAGAGGGUGAUCGGCCACACUGGAACUGAGACACGGUCCAGACUCCUACGGGAGGCAGCAGUAGGGAAUCUUCCGCAAUGGGCGAAAGCCUGACGGAGCAACGCCGCGUGAGUGAUGAAGGUCUUCGGAUCGUAAAACUCUGUUAUUAGGGAAGAACAUAUGUGUAAGUAACUGUGCACAUCUUGACGGUACCUAAUCAGAAAGCCACGGCUAACUACGUGCCAGCAGCCGCGGUAAUACGUAGGUGGCAAGCGUUAUCCGGAAUUAUUGGGCGUAAAGCGCGCGUAGGCGGUUUUUUAAGUCUGAUGUGAAAGCCCACGGCUCAACCGUGGAGGGUCAUUGGAAACUGGAAAACUUGAGUGCAGAAGAGGAAAGUGGAAUCCCAUGUGUAGCGGUGAAAUGCGCAGAGAUGUGGAGGAACACCAGUGGCGAAGGCGACUUUCUGGUCUGUAACUGACGCUGAUGUGCGAAAGCGUGGGGAUCAAACAGGAUUAGAUACCCUGGUAGUCCACGCCGUAAACGAUGAGUGCUAAGUGUUAGGGGGUUUCCGCCCCUUAGUGCUGCAGCUAACGCAUUAAGCACUCCGCCUGGGGAGUACGACCGCAAGGUUGAAACUCAAAGGAAUUGACGGGGGCCCGCACAAGCGGUGGAGCAUGUGGUUUAAUUCGAAGCAACGCGAAGAACCUUACCAAAUCUUGACAUCCUUUGACAACUCUAGAGAUAGAGCCUUCCCCUUCGGGGGACAAAGUGACAGGUGGUGCAUGGUUGUCGUCAGCUCGUGUCGUGAGAUGUUGGGUUAAGUCCCGCAACGAGCGCAACCCUUAAGCUUAGUUGCCAUCAUUAAGUUGGGCACUCUAAGUUGACUGCCGGUGACAAACCGGAGGAAGGUGGGGAUGACGUCAAAUCAUCAUGCCCCUUAUGAUUUGGGCUACACACGUGCUACAAUGGACAAUACAAAGGGCAGCGAAACCGCGAGGUCAAGCAAAUCCCAUAAAGUUGUUCUCAGUUCGGAUUGUAGUCUGCAACUCGACUACAUGAAGCUGGAAUCGCUAGUAAUCGUAGAUCAGCAUGCUACGGUGAAUACGUUCCCGGGUCU